rnacentral:rRNA from 1 species
CUGGGGAGUACGGCCGCAAGGUUAAACUCAAAUGAAUUGACGGGGGCCCGCACAAGCGGUGGAGCAUGUGGUUUAAUUCGAUGCAACGCGAAGAACCUUACCUGGUCUUGACAUCCAUAGAAUUCUGCAGAGAUGUGGGAGUGCCUUCGGGAACUAUGAGACAGGUGCUGCAUGGCUGUCGUCAGCUCGUGUUGUGAAAUGUUGGGUUAAGUCCCGCAACGAGCGCAACCCUUAUUCUUUGUUGCCAGCGAUUUGGUCGGGAACUCAAAGGAGACUGCCGUUGAUAAAGCGGAGGAAGGUGGGGACGACGUCAAGUCAUCAUGGCCCUUACGACCAGGGCUACACACGUGCUACAAUGGCGUAUACAAAGGGAAGCGAAGGUGCGAGCUGGAGCGGAUCUCAUAAAGUACGUCUAAGUUCGGAUUGGAGUCUGCAACUCGACUCCAUGAAGUCGGAAUCGCUAGUAAUCGUAGAUCAGAAUGCUACGGUGAAUACGUUCCCGGGCCUUGUACACACCGCCCGUCACACCAUGGGAGUGGGUUGCACCAGAAGUAGAUAGCUUAACCGCGAGGGGGGCGUUUACCACGGUGUGAUUCAUGACUGGGGUGAAGUCGUAACAAGGUAACCA